rnacentral:misc_RNA from 1 species
ACACCUCAACUCUCAUGGCUUGCCCAUGAUGAGCUUGGACUAUGGGGGUCUUGCUGGCCUGCGGUCGGCUCCUCUCAAAUAAAUCAGCUUGCCAGUGUUUGGUGGCGUCACGGGUGUGAUAACUAUCUACGCUUGUGGUUUUCCACCAGGUAAACCUUCAGCGAUGGAGGUUCGCUGGAGCUCAUAAAUGUCUCUCCUCGGUGAGGACAGCUCUUUGAAC